rnacentral:rRNA from 1 species
CACCAGCYCUYCGAGUGGUAGGGACUUUUAUUGGGCCUAAAGCGUCCGUAGCCGKCUGWACCAGUYCCCCGUUAAAUCCAGCGKCUUAABCGUUGGACUGCGGGGGAUACUGUUCGGCUAGGGGGCGGGAGAGGUAAGCGGUAUUUCUGGGGUAGGGGUGAAAUCCUUURAUCCCAGGAGGACCACCAGUGGCGAAGGCUGYUURCUAGAACGCGCCCGACGGUGAGGGAYGAAAGCUGGGGGAGCGAACCGGAUUAGAUACCCGGGUAGUCCCAGCUGUAAACGAUGCRAGCUAGGUGUUGGGUCGGCCAUGGGCCGCUCCAGUGCCGCAGGGAAGCCGUUAAGCUYGCCGCCUGGGGAGUACGGCCGCAAGGCUGAAACUUAA